rnacentral:rRNA from 1 species
GGGUAAUGGCUCACCAAGGCGACGAUCCCUAGCUGGUCUGAGAGGAUGAUCAGCCACACUGGAACUGANACACGGUCCAGACUCCUACGGGAGGCAGCAGUGGGGAAUAUUGCACAAUGGGGGAAACCCUGAUGCANCCAUGCCGCGUGUGUGAAGAAGGCCUUCGGGUUGUAAAGCACUUUCAGCGAGGAGGAAAGGUUGGCGCCUAAUACGUGUCAACUGUGACGUUACUCGCAGAAGAAGCACCGGCUAACUCCGUGCCAGCAGCCGCGGUAAUACGGAGGGUGCAAGCGUUAAUCGGAAUUACUGGGCGUAAAGCGCACGCAGGCGGUUGGAUAAAGUUAGAUGUGAAAGCCCCGGGCUCAACCUGGGAAUUGCAUUUAAAACUGUCCAGCUAGAGUCUUGUANAGGGGGGUAGAAUUCCAGGUGUAGCGGUGAAAUGCGUAGAGAUCUGGAGGAAUACCGGUGGCGAAGGCGGCCCCCUGGACAAAGACUGACGCUC